rnacentral:tRNA from 1 species
GGGCCGGUAGCUCAGGGGUAGAGCAUCCGCCUUUUAAGCGGAUGGCCGUGGGUUCGAUCCCCACCCGGCCCACCA